CCUCUGGGCAUGUGCACGCCGACCGUGUUUCAUAAAUUUCUCACCUGUGAACCUAAUGUAGGAUGCCUCUCUUUCGGGAGGGGGGACCUAUGUCUUCAUAUACAUCUCCGUGUAGAAAGUCUUAGAAUGUUUACUAUCAUAGAGUCGCGACUUCUAGGAGACGCGAAUCUGUGAGAUAAAAGUUAUUACAACUUUCAGCAAUGGAUCUCUUGGCUCUCGCAUCGAUGAAGAACGCAGCGAAAAGCGAUAUGUAAUGUGAAUUGCAGAUCUACAGUGAAUCAUCGAAUCUUUGAACGCACCUUGCGCUCCUCGGUGUUCCGAGGAGCAUGCCUGUUUGAGUGUCAGUAAAUUCUCAACCCCUCUUGAUUGAGGGAGCUUGGAUAGUGGGGGUUGCCGGAGACUUAGGACUCGGGCUCUCCUGAAAUGCAUCGGCUUGCGGUCGACUUUCGACUAUGCGCGACAAGGCUUUCGGCGUGAUAAUGAUCGCCGUUCGCUGAAGCGCAUGAAUGAAGGUUUCGCGCCUCUAAUAUGUCGACUCUUAUUAUCUAAGGUCUUCUUUAUUGACUUUUGACCUCAA
rnacentral:rRNA from 1 species